UCUUUCAAGCUUUUUCCGAGAAACUCUGAGAUGCCCCAGGGUGGCAGUCAGAUGACCUUGGGACAGCGCUCUGCCGGAACUUAAUCGAAACGCUGGUAUUCCCGAGCACGAUCGUGAACGCUAACAGGACAGUGAAAGAAGAAUGUCUAACUCACACUCCCGGCCCAGUAUAAACUCCAUGCCCUGGCCUGUUCUGAGAGACAGGAAGUGCUCCUAUCAUCUCCAUGGGAAAGAGUGGAGCCGGAGACCCCUCCUCAAACAGAAGGCGGGUUUAGAUCAACACACAAAACAGUGUACAGGCCAUCUGCAGGCUGUUGGAGCGAGCGGAGCAUCAACCAUGGGGGUCCAGCACCACUUCACCCAGACCAACCACUCUCCUUCAUAUAGGCCGGGGCCUCGUCU